GGGUUCAUCUUACAGAAUGCACAGGAAGGAGGAAAAUGUACAUUUUGCCUCAGCACCUGCCCAUCACCACCUUUAUAAUUCAGGUUUGCAGAGUAGGAUUUGGGAUGUCCUACGCUCCAGAAACAAUUCUGAUCACAGUGAUAGAUGAAGUUGUGCAUAACUGACACGAGCAGUAAGUGAUGGCAAUGAGAUUUUGCAAGUUGUGCACUGCAUUGGAAAUGUUGCAUCCCCAGGCUUGGAUAUGUCUCUGACCCAAGAGAGGUGCUCAGAGGAGAGAAGGAAGCUUACUGAGAUUAAUGCCUAGUCUGCUGAGCUGUUCGUUUGUUGCUCGGACACACCCGCAGCAGUUCAGCUCGGACACACCCGCAGCAGGUCGGACACACCCGCAGCAGUUCAGCUCGGACACAGCCGCAGCCGGUCGGACACACCCGCAGCCGGUCGGACACACCCGCAGCAGGUCGGACACACCCGCAGCCGGUCGGGCACACCCGCAGCAGGUCGGGCACACCCGCAGCCGGUCGGACACACCCGCAGCCGGUCGGACACACCCGCAGCAGGUCGGACACAGCCGCAGCCGGUCGGACACACCCGCAGCCGGUCGGACACACCCGCAGCCGGUCGGACACAGUCCGCAGCAGGUCGGACACAGCCACAGCCGGUCGGGCACACCCGCAGCAGGUCGGGCACAGCCGCAGCCGGUCGGACACACCCGCAGCAGGUCGGACACACCCGCAGCAGGUCGGGCACACCCGCAGCCGGUCGGACACACCCGCAGCAGGUCGGACACACCCGCAGCCGGUCGGAAGCGCCGCUGGGCGGGAGCGCCCGGCCCGUCCCGGCCGUGGCGGGGCCGGUGCCGCCACCGUGCGGCCGAACCGCGUCAAUGCCCGGAGGCGCCUCGUGCCGAAGCUGCUCCUCUCACAACCAGCUGGAGUUGCAGUUAUUCCUCCUCUUCUUCCUCCCCCUCAGGCUUUGCGGCUGUUUCUGUUUCGGCUUUAUGAGGUGACAAGCCAAACUGUCCAACAAAACAUCGCUCAUUGUCACUUACUAUUGCCUGUGGGAGAUGCCUGGAAAGGUCAGACCAUUGCCUCCAGGUAGCACAGUGAAUCCUCAUGUUUUAGUCCUCGAAGUUACCCCCUUUUGUCACAGAAAUGUUUGUGUGUAGAGAGUAGACAUGAGUCCUUCUUACUGGAGUAUUGGUAGAUGCUGGAGCAUGUCCAGAGAGGGGAAAUUAAAAUGGCUGAGAAGUCUGGAGCAUCAGUCUUAUGAGGAGCAGCUGCAGAGACAGGUGGAAACUGCUUGGAGAAGAGAAGGCUCAAGGGAGACCUUAUCACUCACGUGUCUGAAAGAAGGCUUUUCCAGACAGGUGGGUGUUGGUCUCUCCUCCCAAGUAACAGUAAGAUGAGAGCAAACAGCCUCAAGUUGUGCCAGGGGAGGUUUAGAUUGGCUAUUAGGAAAAAUGUCUUCAACAAAACCGCACUGGAACAGGCUGCUCAGGGGAGCGGUGGAGUCACCAUCCCUGGGGGGAUUUCAAAAGCAAUUAGAUGUGGUGCUUGGGGGCAUGUUUCAGUGGUGGAGCUGGACCGGUUGGGCUCUCUGACCUCAAGAGUCCUUUCCAACCUGAACAGUUCUAUGGUGUAUGCUUCAUGCUCCUCAACUGCAUUUCUGUUUCCCAGUUUAGCUUAUCUGGUCGUUUAUACUGGGUUUUAAUCCCUUCCAGUUCAUCCACCCUUAUAGAGAUCAGCACAAGCCAUAACACACUGGAAGUCUUUUUUCAUUUCUGCCAUCACCACUUACUGCCACAAGAGCAAACUCCAGAAUCUGAGGCAGGACAAUAUUUUAGUUGCUUUUCCCAUUUGAUAACUGGAAAACUGCUUAAAGGAGGGGAAUGGUAAUGUUUCCUCCUCUCUAGCUACAAUCAAUACUCUUCUAUAACUCAAAAUCUGUCUCUGCAGUUGCUCAACACAGAUUAGUUUCUACUGUCUCUCCCCAUUUCUCUAUCUUUACAAUGGGAAAACAAUCCCUUUUUUUCUUUUUUUUUUCCCUUCAUUGGUUUGUGGUUUUUUUAAUCAUAGGAUAUAUUCCUCUGCCACAUACAUCUACAUCUAUACAUCACUUCCAGAUUAGUUAAAUGUUAUUAGGAAAAAUGACCAAAUAGGGGGGAAAAAGCAGCCUGGGAAACUUUACUCUGAACACGGAAGGAAUAAAGCGCUGGGUGAAAUGGCUCAGAGGAGGAGGCUUCAUGCAGAAGACAAUUGAUGGACAGGUGGCUGCUUUGCAUCAGGUUGAAUAAUUUUGGUUGGUUCUCCAGAUUCUCUGAAGACCCUGAUUGAAACUGAUGCUGUUCACAGUCUGUCACUAAGGAGCUGUAAUCAAGUAGGGCUCAAAUACUUCCCUCCCCCAUGCUCUUCGUAGCUGCUGCUGUUAGAUAGGAAAAAUCUUAGUUUAACUCUAGCAUUGCUUAGAAAAAUGUGACCUCUGAGCUGGAAGUGUCAUGCUUCUGAAGGGAACGUUCUGUAACGCAGAAAGAUAGAAUCUUUUUAUAUAUCACUGCUUAAACAGUGAUCCAAAAUAGUCUGGAACUGUCCUGACUUACACUGAGUCCAAGGCCUUGCCUGUUUGGCAGCCUUCAAUGCACUCUUAUUAUCAAAUCCAAUCUGUAGCAAUUAAAUUGCAUCUUGGCAUUUGAAGGUGUGUUUGGACUUUAUGUGGGUUUUUUUGUUUGUUUGUUUUGGUUGAUUUUGUUGUUGUUUGUUUUGGUUUUUUUUUGGUUGUUUUUUAGUUGUGUCUUUGGGUUUUGUUUUUUUUUUUUUUUCUCCACAGAAUAAAGCGAAUGGUUUUUUUUCUCCUUCCUGCAGCGAAUGUUUUUUUCCCUACAUCUUGGUUGUGUUUCUCCUUAGGUCAGGGAAGGCUGGUGGGUUUGCCCUCAGUUUGGAAAGGGAUUGGUGGAACUCGGAAGCUUUUUCAGCAAUCUUUGGCAAACAGCGCUUGUUGAACGUCACCGUAUCUACCGUGCAUCUCCUCCCGUGAGCCAGGCUGCAGUUUCGGGCUGGCUGCGGAGGAGCCCGGGGCUGUGGAGCUGCGCCGCAGUUUUGGCGAGCUGAAGUUCUUGGCCAUUCACCCUUUGUCGUGUCCCCUCAGUGUCCCGCCCUGCUGCCCGGUGCCCCCUCAGUGAGGGGCGGUACCGCCGUGUCCCCCCGGCGCCGGGCCGGGCGGUACCGCCGUGUCCCCUCGGCGCCGGGCCGGGCCGGGCCGGGCGGUACCGCCGUGUCCCUCCAGCGCCGGGCCGGGCCGGGCGGUGCCGCCGUGUCCCCUCAGCGCCGGGCCGGGCCGGGCCGGGCGGUACCGCCGUGUCCCUCCAGCGCCGGGCCGGGCCGGGCGGUACCGCCGUGUCCCUCCAGCGCCGGGCCGGGCCGGGCGGUACCGCCCCGCU
ensembl:lncRNA